UUUCAAAGCAAUCUAUUUUAUAUUUCAGAACUCUCUAUCAAAAUACUAAUUCACAACACAAUUUUCUAAAAAUAGUAAGACAACAGUUUUAUAUUAAUAACUUUUUUAAUUAACAAGUAGUGAACAGGACACUUAAGAUACUGUUUACUACACACUGAAAUAAACAACUGCUGUAAAUUAAGAAAUCCAAACAUUUACAGUAAAAUGUGCUUACACAUAAAUAUGAUCAAAUUUAUUUAAAGGCCCUGAUAGGUCCUAAUACAUGCAGUUACCAUGUAAAAACAAGACCAUGAGUUGAUGCAAAAAAUGACAAAAAUCACUGUCACCAAAACUAGAAAAGAAACAAUGAAAUGGAAACAGAAAAGACAGUUAAUAAGACAUAGGGACCUAAGAAAGCAGCUUUAAAAAUAGGACACUCUAAUCUUGCCACUGCUGAGACUCCUAAUUCUCCAAACUGCCAUUUAUAAAAUGACAGUUUAAACUCUACUUGGAAUAUCAAAACAUCCCAAUUCAGAAACUGAUUCUCCCCAAGUUCACACUUCAAAUGUAGGAAAAGCACUGAGGUUAAGAAAAUAUUCCACAGAAAUGGCAUAAUCUUUUAGGAAAACAAACUUACUGCUUCCAGAACCUUUCGAUUAAGUCUAUAUUAACAACAACCAUUUUUCUUAUUUUCAUCCAUUACUUUCCAAUGUCAUGUUAGAGAUGAAUAAAUUCUUUGAGCCCAUAACUGAAAGAUCAACAAACCUGAUUUUAUUAUGACACCAUAUUUUUGUCAUCGGUUCUGCACAAAAUUAUAUACAAAGAAAUAUAUACAAAAAUGUUCAAGUAUUAAAUUUCAAUUCAAGGCUUCUGUUUCAAAAGCUACAUUUAACAUACUUCAGAAAAAGCACAAAUUAGUCAUUUGAAAUAAAUUUCCAACUACUUUUGGUUUAUAUAUAUAUGUAUAUAUAUAUAAUUCAGUAGGCACUAAAAUCCAUGCAGCUGCAUUGUAGGGGCUUGUUCCUACCCUUGUAGAAGCAGGUCCGUCACUCCAAGUUGUGAGUUUGGCUACUACCCAUUCAUGCUCAAGUGCAGUAGAUAAUUUUACAAAAUGUGAUAUACUGAAACCAGAGACUAAUGUAGGUCUCAAAAUCAUAUUAUCUAGCAACAAAACAUUUACAGUUAGUUGUGCAAGAACAAGAUUCCAUUUCCAUAACCAAAUAACAAAAUAAAACAUCUUAUGUGUAAGAUAACUUACAUCUUUGGACUGCUGGAAAAUACUUAAUUAUGAACAUUUUAAAAAUAAAAGACAGCAGAAGCCCUGAUAUUACCUCUGUUUCCUUAUUUCUUAUACUACCUUUUAAAAUAAAGCAGGAAAUGUGGCCAGCAGCUGGUCCCGUCUCUUCUGCCCCAACAGCUGUAUCCACUUUAGCACAAAGAAAAACAAGGAUGCUAAAUACGGAUAUC
rnacentral:lncRNA from 1 species